UCAUCCUUAUCAUUAUUAUUAAUAUGAAAAAAAGAACUGAGUCCCCAAUCCCAACUGGGGAAGGAUUCAACUCGUGAAACGCCUGAGCAUCUGAACAUCUGCAAUGAACGGGUACUGGAGUCGUCCCUAGAAAACAGAGGCGCUCUUCUUGGUGUUUUUUUAAGGGAAUAAGGCGGAGGUGGGACACUUUCCCCAGUCAAUUGAAUUAAAGAAAGAAGGAACACGAUUUCAGAGGAUAGUGGGCGAACGAGUUAGGAUAUGGAAACUGAUCAGAAACCACAAACUCUAUAUCGCUGCAAAAGAUGCCGCAGGAUUGUUGCUGCUCAAGAGAAUGUGAUUCUUCAUAAACAGGGAGAGGGUGAACGAUGCUUCAAAUGGAAGAAAAGAGAUGCCCCGCUGGACAGUGACAAUAAACCUGAAUGUUCCUCAAUAUUCGUGGAGCCUAUGAAGUGGAUGCAAGCAGUGCAAGAGGGGUACGUUGAAGAGAAACUUUGGUGCUUGGGCUGCAAGGCCCGUUUGGGUUCAUUCAACUGGGCAGGCAUGCAAUGCAGCUGUGGUGCUUGGGUGAAUCCAGCAUUUCAGCUGCAUAAGAGUCGGGUUGAUGAGUGCACUACAUAAAAUGUCUGUAGGCAUGACCAUGUAUAGCUAGUUGGAAACCUGAGCAUUGAGAAUUCAGUGAAAUUUUGCUGGCCGGUAAUGGUGCUAUCAGAAGAAAUGUUACAUUAAUGGCUUGAACCCAGCAUUAUGAUUUUAUGUAUCUAGUGAUUUCUUUAAAAAAAAUAUUUGCGUGUUUUGUGUA